rnacentral:rRNA from 1 species
UACGGAAGGCAGCAGUGGGGAAUAUUGCACAAUGGGCGCAAGCCUGAUGCAGCCAUGCCGCGUGUAUGAAGAAGGCCUUCGGGUUGUAAAGUACUUUCAGUCGUGAGGAAGGUGUUAAGGUUAAUAACCUUAGCAAUUGACGUUAGCGACAGAAGAAGCACCGGCUAACUCCGUGCCAGCAGCCGCGGUAAUACGGAGGGUGCGAGCGUUAAUCGGAAUUACUGGGCGUAAAGGGCACGCAGGCGGUUAAUUAAGUUGGAUGUGAAAUCCCCGGGCUUAACCUGGGAAUGGCAUUCAAGACUGGUUAGCUAGAGUCUUGUAGAGGGGGUAGAAUUCCAUGUGUAGCGGUGAAAUGCGUAGAGAUGUGGAGGAAUACCGGUGGCGAAAGGCGGCCCCUGGACAAAGAACUGACGCUCAUGUGCGAAAGCGUGGGGAGC